rnacentral:misc_RNA from 1 species
UGUAUUCAAUAUUUCCAAGAGUCCGGAAGGAUCAACAAUCGUCCUCUUUGAGAACGGUUCCCUUUGUUCUUAUUGAAACUGGGAGGUGGCCGCAACCAAAAUAUGUUAAUGUCAAUAUGGAUGGUUCUACGCAUUCCCUACCUCUUGUGACAGUUUAUCAUCACUUGCAACCUUUACAUGCUACGCCUCUCACUUUUAUCCAGGCUCUCUUUGGUCAUCACUAUCCUGUUGGAGUAUUGGAUGAAGAAAAAAUUCUACCACUUGGUAAAGAUAUAACCGCUAUUGGUGUUUGCAGCUCAAAAGAUGGGAUUUUGGAGAUCAAAUCAUG